rnacentral:rRNA from 1 species
UGGGGGAUAUUGCACAAUGGAGGAAACUCUGAUGCAGCGAUGCCGCGUGAGGGAAGAAGGUUUUCGGAUUGUAAACCUCUGUGGAGCGGGACGAUAAUGACGGUACCGCUCAAGGAAGCCACGGCUAACUACGUGCCAGCAGCCGCGGUAAUACGUAGGUGGCGAGCGUUGUCCGGAAUUACUGGGUGUAAAGGGAGUGUAGGCGGGAAUGCAAGUCAGAAGUGAAAACUAUGGGCUUAACCCAUAGCCUGCUUUUGAAACUGUAUUUCUUGAGUGAAGCAGAGGCAAGCGGAAUUCCUAGUGUAGCGGUGAAAUGCGUAGAUAUUAGGAGGAACACCAGUGGCGAAGGCGGCUUGCUGGGCUUUUACUGACGCUGAGGCUCGAAAGCGUGGGGAGCAAACAGGA